rnacentral:misc_RNA from 1 species
GUUGAAGAACGUAGCGAAAUGCGAUACGUAAUGUGAAUUGCAAAUUCAGUGAAUCAUCGAGUCUUUGAACGCACAUUGCGCCCCCUGGUAUUCCGGGGGGCAUGCCUGUCCGAGCGUCAUUGCUGCCCUCAAGCACGGCUUGUGUGUUGGGCCCCGUCCUCCGAUCCCGGGGGACGGGCCCGAAAGGCAGCGGCGGCACCGCGUCCGGUCCUCGAGCGUAUGGGGCUUUGUCACCCGCUCUGUAGGCCCGGCCGGCGCUUGCCGAUCAACCCAAAUUUUUAUCCAGGUUGACCUCGGAUCAGGUAGGGAUACCCGCUGAACUUAAGCAUAUCAAUAAGCGGAGGA